rnacentral:rRNA from 1 species
AUUGAACGCUGGCGGCAUGCUUUACACAUGCAAGUCGAACGGUAACAGGUUAAGCUGACGAGUGGCGAACGGGUGAGUAAUGCAUCGGAACGUGCCCGACCGUGGGGGAUAACGCAGCGAAAGCUGCGCUAAUACCGCAUGCGAUCUGAGGAUGAAAGCGGGGGACCGUAAGGCCUCGCGCGAUCGGAGCGGCCGAUGUCAGAUUAGGUAGUUGGUGGGGUAAAGGCUCACCAAGCCAACGAUCUGUAGCUGGUCUGAGAGGACGACCAGCCACACUGGGACUGAGACACGGCCCAGACUCCUACGGGAGGCAGCAGUGGGGAAUUUUGGACAAUGGGCGAAAGCCUGAUCCAGCAAUGCCGCGUGCAGGAAGAAGGCCUUCGGGUUGUAAACUGCUUUUGUACGGAGCGAAAAGGCUCUCUCUAAUACGGGGGGCUCAUGACGGUACCGUAAGAAUAAGCACCGGCUAACUACGUGCCAGCAGCCGCGGUAA